UCGGAGCCGCUCGCCGCGCCCGGCCCCUCCCUCCCGGCUCGGGCCCUGGGGCGGUUGUUUCUCGCCCAGCUGCUCGCGCGCCAAGAGCUCGAGCCGGAGCCUCCCGGCGGCUCCUCCGCCCGCCCCGCUCGCCGCUGCUGCCUCCUCCUGCGGGCACGAUGCAGUUUAUGUUGCUUUUUAGUCGUCAAGGGAAGCUCAGACUUCAGAAGUGGUAUGUCCCGUUGUCUGACAAAGAGAAGAAGAAAAUCACAAGGGAACUUGUUCAGACAGUGCUGGCCCGUAAACCGAAAAUGUGCAGCUUCCUGGAGUGGAGAGACCUGAAGAUUGUCUACAAAAGAUAUGCAAGCCUUUAUUUCUGCUGUGCUAUUGAAGAUCAGGACAAUGAACUGAUAACUCUGGAAAUAAUUCAUCGUUAUGUGGAACUACUUGACAAGUAUUUUGGCAGUGUGUGUGAACUUGAUAUCAUCUUCAAUUUUGAAAAGGCUUAUUUUAUUCUGGAUGAGUUCCUGUUGGGAGGGGAAGUUCAGGAGACCUCCAAGAAAAACGUUCUCAAAGCCAUUGAGCAGGCAGAUCUGUUACAGGAGAGCCAGAAUGAAGACUGGGGAGGUUUGUCUGAGGAUAUCUUAUGAUUAAGAGCAGUCUAAGGCUUUAGCCCUUUUGACCCCCCUCUAAAUUGGAUGCUAAAGAAGCAGAGACCCCACGUAGUGUACUUGAAGAAAUUGGACUCACAUAAAUCUCCUUUGAAGUCUUCUGGUGUUUCACAUACUGUAAAUGUUCACUGCCAUCAUUUUAAUGUUUAGCUAAUGGUGUAAGAUGCUGUUUGUCAGUAUUAUUGUUUUGCUAAGUUGCUUCAUUCAGGCCUACAAGAAAAUAUCCCAUUUAAAGUUUUUAAAAAAGGGAACAAAAAUGUAAAACCUCCAAAAAGGAUAAAAGAAAGGGAUUUCAAUUCAAGACCUCUCUCUUUGGUGCAUUUGAGAAAAUCAUAGGUGACGACUUCAGUAAUUAUACUGUUUUAUAAGCAACUGUGACUUAAGGAAACAAAUGAAUCAGCUUCAGUACAUAUUCAUGUUUAACAGAAAGGAAAGUACAUGUGACAACUUUAAAUGUGAAAUGUAACAAUGUGGAACUUGGUUUUAUGCGACCAAAGACUUUUGUUCAUCUACAUUUUAUGUCAACAUUUGUGAAAAAUCUGCUUUUUUCAGUUAAUACAGAAAGAUUGGGAAUUAACUGUUUACUAUGGAAUUUUUUUUCAUUAUACCAAAGAACCCUAUUAUGAUCUGUAUAUCAAACUGGUAUGAGCUGUUAAGGUGGCUUCAUUUUUUAGCAACAGAGCUGCAACCAGACCAUUUGAUAGAAAUGGAAAUAUUCAAUACAAAGAUUUUACACAAAAGUACAUGAGUUAAGGUAUUAAAGGGAAUGCCAAUUAUUUCUUACAAUCUGCAUAUUGGAACCAUCCUGUUUUUAACAUCAGUAUUAUUGCUUAACCACUGUGGAUUUAUACCUAGAUUAUGUACUUUGCCCUUCUGACUAUUCAGAUGAGUAGAUAGAUAAUGUAAAAUAUGCUGGGGUAGCACUUGACAUCAUGGAGAGGAGGGGAUAACCUAAAGGGAAAGUUAAAAAUGUGCAAUUUAAAAGUUAGAGAGAGAAGGUGGGUAAGGUAAUAUCUUUUAUUGGUACAACUUCUGUUGGUGAGAGAGAGAAGCUUUUGAGCUUACUACAUGUCAGGUCUGAGAAAUGUACUCUGAGGGUCACAGCUUAAAUACCAGGAGGAACUGCCCCUUCUGUGGCUCUGCCCAAAGCCCUGCCCCCUGCCAAGCCAGAAGCUGGAGCAGGUUGGGAGCCGCGGACUCUCCACCUGCCUGGGGCUUGGGGGGGGCCCUAGAGCAGCCCAUGGUCUGUGUCCCUGCCCAGCGGGCCCCCUGCCGAGGAUAGGUGGAGGGCUUGUGGCCCCCCACACUGCCCGCGUGGCUUUUACCCCAACCCAACUCCGGGCCUCAGAGCUGCAGCCCGGCUGUGGGAAGAGCCACACAGCCAGUCAGCUCCGAGGAGCUGUGGACCUUUCACCUGCCCUGGAUGGGGGGCCCAGGGCUUCUCUUUGACCCUCCCCCCCACCCCGGGCAGGUGGAGGGUGGAGAGUCAGUGGUGCAGCACCUCCUGCUGCCCACGCUCUCCAGCUGCUGGCCCUGGCUAGGGGGGCCUUCGGUGCAAGAGGAGGGGCAGGGGCUAUGGCAAAAAAGUGGACAGGACAGGCCCAUCUGCUUUCAAAAAGUGGGAGGGCCAUAGCCCCCCCCCUCCUAUUCCAGCACUGAUGAUUUUAGUGGGUUAUAGAUUGUUGUAAUAAACCAUAAAUCCAGUGACAAUGUGGGUGAAAACUUUUCUCAAAGCGAUCACUCUAUAUCUGACCUUUCAGUCCUCAUCCUCAAAGGAAACCUGCACAACACUUUCAAAAAGUGAGCCUGGGAGCUUAAAUUCAUAACUUUGCUAGACACUAAAAAUCAUGGACUGAACAGACACAUUGAAUUUAUGGUUUAUAACAACAAUCUAUAUCCACUAACAACCCCCUUACCCAAGCUGCCUCUCCCUGUAUUUCUUCCUCCCCUGGAACUGAAAGGGUGUUAACGGGCCACUUCACCUUGAAUGGUCCAUUUGAAAUAUGUAUUAACUGCUUAUGCUAUCUGUUCCACAUUGUGUUUAGCUGUGACUUUUAAGUACAUUUCUCAGAUCUGAAGAAGAGCUCCCUGUAAGAUCAAAAGCUUCUCUUUCUCACCAACACAGUUUGUUCAAUAAAAGAUAUCACUUACUCCACCUUGUGUGUCUAAUAUUGUGUGACAGACAUGGCUACAACACUGCAUAUAACAAUUUAGAAGUUUUUAUUUUGAACCCUAGAAACAAGACUAAUGGCUUUGCAUUUACUGGUAUAUUAUGGUAUGCUCAAUGGGGGCAUAAGCAUCUAUUUUAAAAAUAUUUUAUUAACCUGCUACAUUGAUAUACAUUAAUGUCCUGUCACCGUACAUGCAGGUGACAUCCAUUGUGAAAUUACUAAGCUUAAGCAAACAAGUGUUUGUAUACAGUACCACCAACCUAGUUUACGCUGAGGUCCUAUUGAAAAUUACUGAGUGAGUUUCAGCAUGUAAAUGAACAAAUAAUCAAGGGUAAUACACCACAAAAUGUACUUUGUUCAUUUAUUUUGACAGUUAUAGGUGUUUUGCAAUAUAGUCUACACUUUAAAGUAUUUAGUCUUAUGAGAUCUCUGUACAGAACUCUGUUCUGUUGCUGAGAAGUUAGUGCCAUUUUUUCUGCAAAUUAUAUGUGGAGUAGCAAAGUUCUACUGUGUGUAUCUGCAGUGAUCACAAGGUGAGUGUUUUUCUAAGCUUGCUGUUAUAUUGGAACUGACCAUAGGCUCCAUAACAUUUCAGUUUGCUCACUUGACGUAAGCAGUACCACACAUUUGCAGUAUUCAUAUCCACUCAUGUCAUGUACAGAACACAGGCCUCUCAAAUCACUAGAAUAUCAUGUUUGUAUAAGGUACACGAGCGCCUUGUUCUGCAUUUGACUCAUGUAGAAUAUGCAAAAAAAGAGGAUACACAACUGGUAUGGGAUGGCCUGCUGUUUGUGCUGUUGAAGUGAUUGACAUUUUAAAUGAAGGAAAUUCAAUCUGAAAGCAGUUUUAUAUGUGUUUAAACAAACAUGUUUCUAAGGUUUACGCUGUCACUUGUAUGUGCUAGGCUGGAUUAAGCUUUGUUGUGAUUGUGUCAAAACCUGUGACCACUGUCUUAGUAUCACAUUAAUUUAAUUGUAAUAAAUGUUCAUUUUUACACCA